CAUGUCCUUUUGAAAAUUAUUUAAGGUUGAAUCUGCUCAAUGAAUAAUUUUUAAAUAGCCGCAGUAUUUUGACUGUGCAAAGGUAGCGUAGUAAUUAGUUUCUUAAUUAGGAGCUUGAAUGAAUGAUUUGACAAGAAAAUUUCUGUCUCUUUCUAAUUAUUUUUGAAUUUAACUUUUGAGUUAAAAGGCUCAAAUUCUAAUAAAAGACGAGAAGACCCCAUAGAGCUUUAUUUUUUUAUUUUGUUUAGAAUUACUUAUUUAAUAAAAAAAAUUAGUUGGGGUAACUUAAAGAUAAAAUAAAUUCUUUAAAUUAAAAAAUCAUUGAUUUAUGAAUUUAAAAUCUAAAUUAUUAAAUUUAAAUAAAGUUACCUUGGGGAUAACAGCGUAAUUUCUUUUUAGAGUUCUUAUCAAAUAAGAAGAUUGCGACCUCGAUGUUGGAUUAAAAUAAAGUUUAGGUGUAGAAGCUUAAAUAUUAAGUCUGUUCGACUUUUAAAAUUUUACAUGAUCUGAGU
rnacentral:rRNA from 1 species